rnacentral:rRNA from 1 species
ACUCCCUACGGGACGCAGCAGUGGGGGAUAUUGCACAAUGGAGGAAACUCUGAUGCAGCGACGCCGCGUGAGGGAAGACGGUCUUCGGAUUGUAAACCUCUGUCUUUGGGGAAGAAAAUGACGGUACCCAAAGAGGAAGCCACGGCUAACUACGUUCCAGCAGCCGCGGUAAUACGUAGGUGGCGAGCGUUGUCCGGAAUUACUGGGUGUAAAGGGAGCGUAGGCGGGAGAGCAAGUCGACUGUGAAAUCUAUGGGCUUAACCCAUAGCUGCGAUCGAAACUGUUCAUCUU